AGGUCGCCGGAAAGAUCCAGUCAAUGACAACAGAGAAUACGAGUCAUUGGAGGGUCGGUCGAAUCCAAACGUCUAUGAAGAGCUCCAUGGUACACCAUCUGGUGAUAAAGAGAUAUACAUCAACACCGCAAUUGCCGAGGGGUGUUUUGGUUCCGGAAAUUAAUCCAUCUGGUUCACAAGAACUCGUAAUAAUGAAAAGCCAGAGAAAGCUUCAAUUAAUACGUAAGCUUUCCAAAAGGUUUCUAUUGGACUAAACCUAUCAACCGUAGACCGGAAAUGUUAUGAAUAAUAAUCAAUCUAUAUUAGUCAUAUAUCAUUGUGAUUGUUAUAAUUAUGGAUGUAUACAGUUCUGUGAUUGCACAACGCACCAAAAAAAAACCUGAACACAUCGUGUGCACAAUUUGACAAUGAGCAUGCCAGCAGCCCUUACUUCUCCUCUGCACCUGUGACAGUCCGGGCAUAAAUAUUGGACAUGCAUACUUGGAUGAUUUUAUUGGGUAUUCAGUCGUUACAGUAUGACGGAAUUAUUUCGUUUUCCAAUGCACUGCUUAAUUUACGAGCUAUUUCCAAAAACAGAGCAAGAUAUCUACACGUUUGAAUGACUAAAAUUAAUAGCGUGUUACUUGGUAGGUUCAUAUUGUAUUCCGCUUCAAAAUGUUAAUGAUACAAGAACUUUGUUUGUGUUUUCAGCAAUAUAUAUUUAGAGGUUGACCGUAGAGAGAGGUGCUAAUCUACUA